GACGUAGGGUCCUAGCGUUGUUCGGAAUUACUGGGCGUAAAGCGUGUGUAGGUGGGUUUGCAAGUCAGAUGUGAAAACCCAGGGCUUAACCCUGGACCUGCAUUUGAAACUACAGAUCUUGAAUAUGGAAGAGGUUAGCAGAAUUCCUGGUGUAGUGGUGAAAUACGUAGAUAUCAGGAGGAAUACCAGCGGCGAAGGCGGCUAACUGGUCCAAUAUUAACGCUGAGACACGAAAGCGUGGGGAGCAAACAGG
rnacentral:rRNA from 1 species